rnacentral:tRNA from 1 species
GGAAGAGUCGCAUAGUGGCCUAGUGCGCACGCUUGGAAAGCGUGUGUGGGGAAACUCACCGAGAGUUCGAAUCUCUCCUCUUCCGCCA